CUUUAAUUCAUCUUCACUCUGGUCUCCGCACAACUUAAUGCAGUAGUUUCCUGAUUCAUCUUGAGACUUUUUUUUACUUGUCCUUAGGGAACUUCAUAAAGUUAUUUGUGUGUAUUUCUAUCUGGGGAAUUAUAAACUCCUUGAUAACAGGGAAGAUGGCUAAUUGAAAUGUGUGCACUCUGAUACCUAGCCUAAAGACGGUUAAGCUUGGGGUGCUCAAAAAAUAUUUGUUGGUUUAAGGAAAGAAUGAUGCCUUUGCCCUGAAGACUGAGUAAGACUCAGAGGAAAUAACCAUCCUGACUCUUUGCAACCCCAUGUGGACUGUAGGCUCCUCUGUCCAUGAGAUUUUCCAGGCAAGAAUACUGAAGUGGGUUGCCAUUUUCUCCUCCAGGGGAUUUUCCUGACCAGGGAUUAAAGCUGAGUUUCCUGUGUCACCUGUAUGGCUGGCAGACUCUUUACCCACUGAGCCAUCAGGGAAAGCCCAAUAUCAAAGGCAAAGGUGCCAUAAAAUCGUUUAGAGCAGGCCCCAAAUUUGGAACAUUUCAUUAUUUCAUUUUUCAUCAUUUUGAUAGUCUCUCAGUACCAUGAGAAAUGUCAGGAAAGAUACUCAGCCAAGCUCUUCAUGUGUUCCAAUGUACAAUGGAGCUAAAGCCGAUAAAGUACAAGACUCUUGAGAAUCCCUUGGACUGCAAAGAGAUCCAACCAGUCAAUCCCAAAGUCAGUCCUGAAUAUGCAUUGGAAGGACUGAUGCUGAAGCUGAAACUCCAAUCCUUUGGCCACCUGAUGUGAAGAACUGACUCAUUGGCAGAGACUCCGAUGCUGAAAGAGUGAAGGCCGGAGUAGAAGGGGACGACAGAGGAUGAGAUGGCUGGAUGGCAUCACCGACUCGAUGGACAUGAAUUUGAGUAAGCUCUGGGAGUUGGUGAUGGACAGGGAGGCCUGGCAUGCUGCUGUCCAUGGGGUCGCAAAGAGUUGGACACGACUGAGCAACUGAACUGAAGAUUCCUAUUAUUCAUAUAUAUUUAUAGUGGAGAAGGCAAUGGCACCCCAGUCUAGUACUCUUGCCUGGAGGGUCCCAUGGACGGAAGAGCUUGGUAGGCUGCAGUCCAUGGGGUCGCUAGGAGUCGGACACAACUGAGCGACUUCACUUUCACUUU
ensembl:lncRNA